GACGAACGCUGGCGGCGUGCUUAACACAUGCAAGUCGAACGGAAAGGCCCUGCUUUUGUGGGGUGCUCGAGUGGCGAACGGGUGAGUAACACGUGAGUAACCUGCCCUUGACUUUGGGAUAACUUCAGGAAACUGGGGCUAAUACCGGAUAGGAGCUCCUGCUGCAUGGUGGGGGUUGGAAAGUUUCGGCGGUUGGGGAUGGAUGCGCGGCUUAUCAGCUUGUUGGUGGGGUAGUGGCUUACCAAGGCUUUGACGGGUAGCCGGCCUGAGAGGGUGACCGGCGACAUUGGGACUGAGAGACGGAGCAGACUCCUACGGGAGGCAGCAGUGGGGAAUAUUGCACAAUGGGCGGAAGCCUGAUGCAGCAACGCCGCGUGCGGGAUGACGGCCUGCGGGUUGUAAACCGCUUUCGCCUGUGACGAAGCGUGAGUGACGGUAAUGGGUAAAGAAGCACCGGCUAACUACGUG
rnacentral:rRNA from 1 species